GGCCAGCCUUGGCGGCAGGAAGGCAGUGCCAUGCAGAAAUUAUGAAAAUAGUGCUUAAAUAACUGAUGUCUGAAAACCACCAGCAUAAGGGAGGGAGCAGAGCACUGGCCAGAAGUGAAGAGAACAGAGUCUUAGGUCCGGACCCCCUGCUGUGGAAACUAAAGGGCAAAUUCAGCAAAACAACCAGUUGGCUGUACCACAGGCAGAGAGAAAAAGAAGUCAGGAGAAAUAGAAAACUGAUGACAAUGUCCACGAAGUCCCAAGGUAGGAAUUGGGGUGACAUGCUACAUUUUCAUCAUUAACAUAUAUUACCUUUGUAAUUGGAGGAAAAAACCCCAAUAACAUAGACAUAUAUUUUUAUAUACAUUUAAUGUUUGGAGAGCAGUUUAGAGGUGCAGUAUGUUUGAUAGAGAUUAUAAACUCAACUGUUUAUGAGGUUCAGAUAUAAAAUGUAAUGAAUGAAGCAAAAAUAAGAAAAGCAGGCUGAUGGGAGUGAGGGAAUUGUGGGACACCAGAGAAAUUCAGACAGUUGCAAUACCUGGAAUCUUGGAAUGUGGGCACAGAGAUGUCAGAGCAUCUAAUCGUCUCCCUCACCACCAAAAAACAAAAAAAAAAAAAAAA